rnacentral:rRNA from 1 species
GAUGAACGCUGGCGGCGUGCCUAAUACAUGCAAGUCGAGCGAACAGACGAGGAGCUUGCUCCUCUGACGUUAGCGGCGGACGGGUGAGUAACACGUGGAUAACCUACCUAUAAGACUGGGAUAACUUCGGGAAACCGGAGCUAAUACCGGAUAAUAUAUUGAACCGCAUGGUUCAAUAGUGAAAGACGGUUUUGCUGUCACUUAUAGAUGGAUCCGCGCCGCAUUAGCUAGUUGGUAAGGUAACGGCUUACCAAGGCAACGAUGCGUAGCCGACCUGAGAGAGUGAUCAGCCACACUGGAACUGAGACACGGUCCAGACUCCUACGGGAGGCAGCAGUAGGGAAUCUUCCGCAAUGGGCGAAAGCCUGACGGAGCAACGCCGCGUGAGUGAUGAAGGUCUUCGGAUCGCAAAACUCUGUUAUUAGGGAAGAACAAAUGUGUAAGUAACUAUGCACGUCUUGACGGUACCUAAUCAGAAAGCCACGGCUAACUACGUG